rnacentral:rRNA from 1 species
UACGGAGGGUGCGAGCGUUGUCCGGAAUCACUGGGCGUAAAGGGCGCGUAGGCGGCAUGCCAAGCGUGUGGUGAAAGCCCGGGGCUCAACCCCGGGUCGGCCGUGCGGACUGGCGUGCUCGAGCACUGUAGGGGCGGGUGGAAUUCCGGGUGUAGCGGUGGAAUGCGCAGAUAUCAGGAGGAACACCGGUGGCGAAGGCGGGUCUCUGGGCAGUAACUGACGCUGAGGAGCGAAAGCGUGGGGAGCAAACAGG